rnacentral:rRNA from 1 species
CCUACGGGUGGCAGCAGUGAGGAAUAUUGGUCAAUGGGCGGAAGCCUGAACCAGCCAAGUAGCGUGCAGGAUGACGGCCCUACGGGUUGUAAACUGCUUUUAUGCGGGAAUAACGCGCCUUACGUGUGGUGCUUUGUAUGUACCGCAUGAAUAAGGACCGGCUAAUUCCGUGCCAGCAGCCGCGGUAAUACGGAAGGUCCGGGCGUUAUCCGGAUUUAUUGGGUUUAAAGGGAGCGUAGGCCGCAUGUUAAGCGUGCUGUGAAAUGUCGGGGCUCAACCAGGGCAUUGCAGCGCGAACUGGCGUGCUUGAGUGCGCGGAAAGCAGGCGGAAUUCGUGGUGUAGCGGUGAAAUGCUUAGAUAUGACGAAGAACCCCGAUUGCGAAGGCAGCUUGCGGCAGCGGAACUGACGCUGAUGCUCGAAAGCGCGGGUAUCGAACAGGAUUAGAUACCCGGGUAGUC